GUGUCUUCCUGGAGAUUGAUCUUGCGGUGGACCAUCUCCACAGUAACUCCUGCUGCUGCUCCUGCCUCUUCCAAUGCCUAAAUACAACGUCCCGCCGAUUCGGUGUAACGUCGUCACGGACUACUUUGUAUGGUGCAUCACCCUCUAUCACCCAGUCAGAGCAGGAGGAGGAGCCACCCUCGGGGUUUGAGUGACUCGCCACCCUCCUCCUCUCCCUUACCUACCACACAUGCGCUCCUCCUCCGCCCAUCAGAAUGGAACCACGACGUUAGCGAAGACUUACUGUAUUGAAGAUUUGAUAUUAACCAUGACUCACACAUCAUAAAAGGCUGAUCAUAUGAGAAUAUAAUACGGAAUCAACACAAAAAACCUGGCAAAUACGUCAAGACCUGGUUCACAGCCACCAUAUAUACUGUACUGUACAGUAUCUUCCCUCUUGUACUUAGUCGCUCUCAUCAUGUCUACAGCAAAUCUGAUUAGACCACUACAGUACAGCAGCUACAUUAUUUAGUGAACAAGUGUUGUUUCAUAAUAUUUUUAUUUUAACCAAUUCUAAAACCCUCAACCACCCCAUUAAAAACAAUUAUUUACUCAACAUAAAAACAGGUGUUUUGAAAUACAGUAGUAAUGUUAUCAGUGUCCAAAAGAGAACAGUUAAGGAAGUUUUUAGUGUAUGUUUUGGGGCUGCAGUCCUGUAGUCACUCUUCCUGCCAACGCCUCUCCCAUAUUUUACAAGACUUUCAAUGCCAUUUUGGGAUUUAACACAAAUUACCACAGCAGGAGAUAUUUUAGGAGCCCAUCUCUCAUGUUAAGCAUUGACUACCUAUAUUAAUGUUAUAAUGAGAUUUGGCAACCCUAGGAGCCCUGUUAGGGGGGUGUUUAUGGAUGGGAUUCUCGGGGGCAAACUCCCGUGGUCCGGCACCUCACUGGUCCCGAGGCUACUGAAUUAGAGAGGUUGGACCUGUAUAUGAAUCUAUGUCUCACAGA